rnacentral:tRNA from 1 species
GCGCGGUUAGCUCAGUUGGUAGAGCAUGCGGUUUACAUCCGCAGGGUCGUAGGUUCGAGCCCUACACCGCGCA